GUCAUAUGCUUGUCUCAAAGAUUAAGCCAUGCAUGUCUCAGUACAAGCCAAAUUAAGGUGAAACCGCGAAAGGCUCAUUAAAUCAGUUAUGGUUCCUUAGAUCGUACCCACAAUUACUUGGAUAACUGUGGUAAUUCUAGAGCUAAUACAUGCAAACAGAGCUCCGACCGGAGACGGAAGGAGUGCUUUUAUUAGAUCAAAACCAAUCGGUGGCGGGUUCUUGAGCCCGUUAUCGUACAACUUGGUGACUCUGAAUAACUUUACGCUGAUCGCACGGUCAUCGCACCGGCGACGCAUCUUUCAAAUGUCUGCCUUAUCAACUGUCGAUGGUAGGUUCUGCGCCUACCAUGGUUGUAACGGGUAACGGGGAAUCAGGGUUCGAUUCCGGAGAGGGAGCCUGAGAAACGGCUACCACAUCCAAGGAAGGCAGCAGGCGCGCAAAUUACCCACUCCCGGCACGGGGAGGUAGUGACGAAAAAUAACGAUACGGGACUCAUCCGAGGCCCCGUAAUCGGAAUGAGUACACUCUAAACCCUUUAACGAGGAUCAAUUGGAGGGCAAGUCUGGUGCCAGCAGCCGCGGUAAUUCCAGCUCCAAUAGCGUAUAUUAAAGUUGUUGCGGUUAAAAAGCUCGUAGUCGAAUUUGUGUCUCGCGCCGCCGGUUCAUCGUCCGCGGUGUUAACUGGCGUGUCUCGCGAGACGUCCUGCCGGUGGGCGGCUAGCUCGCGAGGGCGGCUGCCCAACUCAAUCCUGCCGCGGUGCUCUUCAUUGAGUGUCGAGGUGGGCCGGCACGUUUACUUUGAACAAAUUAGAGUGCUUAAAGCAGGCUAAAACUUCGCCUGAAUACUGUGUGCAUGGAAUAAUGGAAUAGGACCUCGGUUCUAUUUUGUUGGUUUUCGGAACCCCGAGGUAAUGAUUAAUAGGAACGGAUGGGGGCAUUCGUAUUGCGACGUUAGAGGUGAAAUUCUUGGAUCGUCGC
rnacentral:rRNA from 1 species